GAGCACUGUCAAGUAUUGGGAGAGGACCAUCGGGGAGGGCCUUGUGAAGAAGAUCCUGAUCCCGAAGCAGCAGUACGCAGGAGGCAUCUCGAGGUUUGCAAUCUUCUUUUCCUUCGUCUUUUUUAUUAAUUUCUUUCCCUAGAUUUCCAAUAUUUGAUUUCGCUUCUUUUUCGAUACAUCUCCUGGUUAAAAAUUUCCGAACUUUGGCUGAAAAAAAAUAAGUACUUUAAUUAGGUGGACAACUCAUGUAAGAUAUCACCUUUUUAUUGUUAUGCGGAGAUCUAGCUUUGCUUAUUGGACCCGUUUUUUCUUGGUAAUAAUGACAAGUUCAAAUACACAGGGAAACGAGAACAAAAGGAAGUAACAGAGAAAGAAAAAAAGUCACCGAACAUCAGGAAAUCCAGAAUUAUCCAUCCUUAACAAAAGGUUAAUUCAACUCCGAAGGCAGGUUAGAAUCGUCAGCGAAAUCCAUGUUGUAUCCUUUCCCAACCAACCAAU
rnacentral:lncRNA from 1 species